rnacentral:rRNA from 1 species
AACGGCCGCGGUAUCCUGACCGUGCAAAGGUAGCAUAAUCAUUUGCCUAUUAAUUGUAGGCUAGUAUGAACGGACAAACGCGAACUUAACUGUCUCCUUUAGGUGUAUAAAAAUUUAUAUUUAAGUGAAGAAGCUUAAAUACACUCGCAGGACAAGAAGACCCUAUAGAGCUUUACCAUAAACCUUAAUACUUAAGCUCCUUGGUUCGGUUGGGGCGACCAAGGAACACAAAACAUCCUUAACAAAUAAGAUUUUCUAAUCAUAAAAAUAGAUCCUUAACUAAGAUCACAGAAUCAAGCUACCUUAGGGAUAACAGGCUAAUUCCUCUAGAGAGCCCUUAUUGACAGAGGAGGUUGGCACCUCGAUGUUGGCUUAGGAUUUCUU